rnacentral:rRNA from 1 species
UACGGGGGGGGGAAGCGUUGUUCGGAAUUACUGGGCGUAAAGGGCUCGUAGGCGGCCAACUAAGUCACACGUGAAAUCCCUCAGCUUAACUGGGGAACUGCGUGUGAUACUGGAUGGCUUGGAUUUGGGAGAGGGAUGCGGAAUUCCAGGUGUAGCGGUGAAAUGCGUAGAUAUCUGGAGGAACACCGGUGGCGAAGGCGGCAUCCUGGACCAAUAUUGACGCUGAGGAGCGAAAGCCAGGGGAGCAAACAGG